GACGAACGCUGGCGGCGUGCUUAACACAUGCAAGUCGAACGGAUCACAUUGCUUCGGUUUUGUGGUGAGUGGCGAACGGGUGAGUAACACGUGAGUAACCUGCCCCCUUCUUUGGGAUAACGUCGGGAAAUCGGCGCUAAUACUGGAUAUUCUGGUUUCCUCGCAUGGGGUUUCUGGGAAAGGUUUUCUGGUGGGGGAUGGGCUCGCGGCCUAUCAGCUUGUUGGUGGGGUGAUGGCCUACCAAGGCGGUGACGGGUAGCCGGCCUGAGAGGGUGUCCGGCCACACUGGGACUGAGACACGGCCCAGACUCCUACGGGAGGCAGCAGUGGGGAAUAUUGCACAAUGGGCGCAAGCCUGAUGCAGCGACGCCGCGUGAGGGAUGACGGCCUUCGGGUUGUAAACCUCUUUCAGUACAGAACAAGGCCUUCGGGUUGAGGGUAUGUGCAGAAGAAGCGCCGGCUAACUACGUGCCAGCAGCCGCGGUAAUAC
rnacentral:rRNA from 1 species